CCCAUGUUUCAGUGCGGCCUGUCGCGUACACUCGCCGCGUGCAGCUCGCAAAGCAGCCGAAAAUGCAGCCCGCGUGCGCGCGCCGAGCUUUUCGACGCGCGCCGCGGUGGUUCCCUUGCAAGGUGCCUCACGUGUCGGAGGCGGAUCGGCGCGGAGUCGUGCUGGGCGAUGUGACACCAACAGAUGCCACGACCUUGCGAUCGCUGUCUGGUGGUGGUACAAGGAACAUUGCAAGGAACCCAGCAGCGGUGACGUCACCCGCGUCCUACGCUGUGAUUGGUUGGCCUAUUCGGCAAGGGAACAGCCACGCAGCACCCACGGUCAUGAAAACCCAGACAGGACACACCUGGCACGUAUGUGGACCAUGCUGUCCCAAACACCGGUAACAUCGUGUUCGUAUCCGCUCCCACAGAGGCCAGCGUCUUCCCUACAGCUGUCACCGCAGAAGAAGCAGUCUGGCACCCGAACAAAGGAGAAAUCACAGGGUUGUCGUCUGCUACUGCUCCCGAGUGUACUGUUGGAAGUGCCCGCUAGGUGGCUAUCAGUAGCGCCUCUAUAGGCGGUGCACGAGGCCUAUAGUA